AGCGAACGCUGGCGGCAGGCUUAACACAUGCAAGUCGAACGGGCACUUCGGUGCUAGUGGCAGACGGGUGAGUAACACGUGGGAACGUACCUUUCGGUUCGGAAUAAUCCAGGGAAACUUGGACUAAUACCGGAUACGCCCUUCGGGGGAAAGAUUCAUCGCCGAUAGAUCGGCCCGCGUCUGAUUAGCUAGUUGGUGAGGUAAUGGCUCACCAAGGCGACGAUCAGUAGCUGGUCUGAGAGGAUGAUCAGCCACAUUGGGACUGAGACACGGCCCAAACUCCUACGGGAGGCAGCAGUGGGGAAUAUUGGACAAUGGGCGCAAGCCUGAUCCAGCCAUGCCGCGUGAGUGAUGAAGGCCUUAGGGUUGUAAAGCUCUUUUGUCCGGGAAGAUAAUGACAGUACCGGAAGAAUAAGCCCCGGCUAACUUCGUG
rnacentral:rRNA from 1 species